rnacentral:lncRNA from 1 species
UCGUUUACCGUGAAACUAUAAUCCCUUCGUCAAUAUGAUCCGAACAAUUACGAGAUAUAGAAUUGUGUCAAUCCCGAAUAUCGAUCAUAUCUUUUACUCCACUAUUAAGUCAAUAUAAGUCGAAAACUCCUUUUCGACUUAUGAGUACACCUUGGCCAAGGAUUUUGUUAUCAACUUAAUUGAAUGAAACGCAAAUCAUAAUC